CACGUAGGGCGCAAGCGUUGUCCGGAAUUAUUGGGCGUAAAGAGCUCGUAGGCGGUCUGUCACGUCGGCUGUGAAAACCCGAGGCUCAACCUCGGGCCUGCAGUCGAUACGGGCAGACUAGAGUUCGGUAGGGGAGACUGGAAUUCCUGGUGUAGCGGUGAAAUGCGCAGAUAUCAGGAGGAACACCGGUGGCGAAGGCGGGUCUCUGGGCCGAAACUGACGCUGAGGAGCGAAAGCGUGGGGAGCGAACAGG
rnacentral:rRNA from 1 species